GAUGAACGCUGGCGGCGUGCCUAAUACAUGCAAGUCGAGCGAACAGACGAGGAGCUUGCUCCUCUGACGUUAGCGGCGGACGGGUGAGUAACACGUGGAUAACCUACCUAUAAGACUGGGAUAACUUCGGGAAACCGGAGCUAAUACCGGAUAAUAUAUUGAACCGCAUGGUUCAAUAGUGAAAGACGGUUUUGCUGUCACUUAUAGAUGGAUCCGCGCCGCAUUAGCUAGUUGGUAAGGUAACGGCUUACCAAGGCGACGAUGCGUAGCCGACCUGAGAGGGUGAUCGGCCACACUGGAACUGAGACACGGUCCAGACUCCUACGGGAGGCAGCAGUAGGGAAUCUUCCGCAAAGGGCGAAAGCCUGACGGAGCAAUGCCGCGUGAGUGAUGAAGGUCUUCGGAUCGUAAAACUCUGUUAUUAGGGAAGAACAAAUGUGUAAGUAACUAUGCACGUCUUGACGGUACCUAAUCAGAAAGCCACGGCUAACUACGUG
rnacentral:rRNA from 1 species